GAUGAACGCUGGCGGCGUGCCUAACACAUGCAAGUCGAGCGAGAAGUAAAGAAAUGAAGCUUCGGUAGAUUUUCAUUAUGGAAAGCGGCGGACGGGUGAGUAACGCGUAGGCAACCUGCCCUGUACAGGGGGAUAGCCACCCGAAAAGGUGAUUAAUACCCCAUGAUGCAAGAGAUACACAUGUAUCACUUGUCAAAGAUUUAUCGGUAUGGGAUGGGCCUGCGUCUGAUUAGCUAGUUGGUAGGGUAACGGCUUACCAAGGCAACGAUCAGUAGCCGACCUGAGAGGGUGAUCGGCCACAUUGGAACUGAGACACGGUCCAAACUCCUACGGGAGGCAGCAGUGGGGAAUAUUGCACAAUGGGGGAAACCCUGAUGCAGCAACGCCGCGUGAAGGAAGAAGGCCUUCGGGUUGUAAACUUCUGUCCUAGGGGAAGAAACAAAUGACAUUACCCUUGGAGGAAGCCCCGGCUAACUACGUGCCAGCAGCCGCGGUAAUACGUAGGGGGCGAGCGUUAUCCGGAAUUAUUGGGCGUAAAGAGUGCGUAGGUGGCAUCUUAAGCGCAGGGUUUAAGGCAAUGGCUCAACCAUUGUUCGCCUUGUGAACUGGGGUGCUUGAGUGCAGGAGGGGAAAGUGGAAUUCCUAGUGUAGCGGUGAAAUGCGUAGAUAUUAGGAGGAACACCAGUGGCGAAGGCGACUUUCUGGACUGUUACUGACACUGAGGCACGAAAGCGUGGGUAGCAAACAGG
rnacentral:rRNA from 1 species